rnacentral:lncRNA from 1 species
UGCUCAGUGGGGAUGAUGGAGGGACGGCUCCUCCCUCUGUGGGCCCCGAGGUCUGUGCGGGAAUCAGCUCUGCAGCUGUGUCCAGGGGCAGCCGUAGCCCACACACAGCAGGCUCACAGCUCUGUUCCACGAGAACUUUAUACACAAAAGCAGAUGGGCUGGGCUUGGCCUGUGGAUCAUAAUCUGCUGACCCCUGGGUAAGAAAUUUUAAAUAUUUACUUAAUUCUGUUCAACAGAAGGGGUGAUAUACUGAGGAGUGAAUAAUGGGAAAGACCUGAUUCAGCUGUAUCAGGAAGGACUGGUGUAAAUUCAACUUAUUAACUGAAUUCACAGUAUUUGAUGUAUUAUGCCUUUAGGGGUUAAAAAUGGGUCACACACGGGCAGCAUGCACUUCACUGGCCUGGCAGGGCACCUCAGUGUUUAGAUGUGUGGUUCCGAUGCUUACCAGGGUUGGAGGCCCCUGUUAGUAGUGAAGUGCAUCUGGAGUUCUGGAUACUUUUUCUGGCUUUGCUCUAUUUGUGUGAGCUUGUGCAGUUAGAGGUUUGGGCUGAAUUUGGGUAGAAAUGGGUGGCUCACAGGCUGCAAAAUUUCUGUGGACCCUUUUUUUUCCCCCAGUUGAUUAAUGUUGUAAAUAUUAGAAUAUUGUUACAUAAAAGUCUGGAUUUUUAGUUUCUUUCACAUUGGAAUAGCUGCCAACAUUGGGCCUGCAUUCAUUUCUCUAGGGCAACGUUGGCUGCAGCAGAGAAGGCUGCUCCCCAGUGGGGCGUGUGCUCAGCCCGCAGCCCCCACCCUCCGGACUCCGUUCGCCUCCUCUCUCAGGUUUGCACUCGUCAUUGUCUUCUAAUUUUGCAUCCCUGGACUGCAUGACCUACAAGGUCUCAGCACAACAAGACUCUAUGAUUCUGUCUAUUGGAACAAAAAGCCAGUGAGGCAAGUGUAUCAUCGUGUUGAUGAAUUCAUAGGAUUAACUCUGGGAGUUGGGGACAGUUUGUAUUCUUCCUCCAGACACUCUCUGCUUCUCCUGGAUGGAAAGGUUCUGCUAGUCGUCCCGUGGUCAGGCCCAGCCAAUGGAACGGAAUGGAAGUGACUCUGCCCCUUAUUGGCAGAAACUUUAAAAGCCGCGCAACGUUCCCGCGCCCUCCCCUCUGCCGUGAGCCUGGCUGUGCUCAGGAUGGGAAAAUUAUUUCACCUGGGCCUGAGGAUACAGGCGCUACUCCCAGCCUGCAGUGGAAGAGAAGCAUGGACAAGUGAUUAAGCUUUGUGUUUUCAAGCCACAGAGGUUUUUUGAGGUUGUUUGCUACCGUGCUUUGUCCCUGCAAACACAGUCACGGAGAAGGCCAGCGGCAAAGCCUGAGCCACUCGUGCAUCUGUUCACCAGUAUCCAGAAUAAUAAUAGAUUUGUGAAACAUUCCUGAGAAAAUUCUGGGAGUUGCAUAUGGGCCAGUCUUAUUCUCUAAAGUUGUUCCUUCUAAAGGGUGGGAUGACUGAAAAUUUCAGAAAAGCAAACCAUUGCUGAAAGGCAA